rnacentral:rRNA from 1 species
GACGAACGCUGGCGGCGUGCUUAACACAUGCAAGUCGAACGGAAAGGCCCUGCUUUUGUGGGGUGCUCGAGUGGCGAACGGGUGAGUAACACGUGAGUAACCUGCCCUUGACUUUGGGAUAACUUCGGGAAACUGGGGCUAAUACCGGAUAGGAGCUCCUGCUGCAUGGUGGGGGUUGGAAAGUUUCGGCGGUUGGGGAUGGACUCGCGGCUUAUCAGCUUGUUGGUGGGGUAGUGGCUUACCAAGGCUUUGACGGGUAGCCGGCCUGAGAGGGUGACCGGCCACAUUGGGACUGAGAUACGGCCCAGACUCCUACGGGAGGCAGCAGUGGGGAAUAUUGCACAAUGGGCGGAAGCCUGAUGCAGUAACGCCGCGUGCGGGAUGACGGCCUUCGGGUUGUAAACCGCUUUCGCCUGUGACGAAGCGUGAGUGACGGUAAUGGGUAAAGAAGCACCGGCUAACUACGUG